AUGCCAGCAUCAUACUUCCUGUACAGCCUGCAGAACCAAGAGGCGUACUACGCAAAGAGUAAGGGUGUGAACUGGAAGCUGGGAGAGCUGGCUUGAUUCCCUUCACCGGCCAUCACUGGAGUGCGUCACUUGAUAUCAAGGAUUUCCGUUUAUCAACUACGAAGUGAUGUCCCUUAGGUUGAUACAGCUAUGGAGAUUAUAGCUUUCAAAGUGUUUGAGAGGAACCAUAUUUUAUAAAUUCAACAUUGCUGACUGCUGAAGGCACUAUCUUCAUGCUAUAUUUUGCCAUGUGGCUGAAGGUCUUGUGAAGGUGGUCUUCAGAGUAUCUGCGUAUUAUCUUUGGCGAUGGUAUCAAAGGCUGCUUCAGGCAGGUAUAGGGUGCCUCACCAUGGUAGGGGAAUCCUUGUUCAUAAGCAAGGGAGUAUCAGGACCCCAGGAACCAGGAGCUAUGGGCAAUUCUGCAGUAAGGAAUAAUACCAGUUAUAAGGUACUGGGAGUCAGGCAGUGAAUUAGCCAGAGCAGGGGGUAAAGUAAACCAAGCCUAGCUCUGUGCCCUUCUGCUUUUUCUUUUUUUCGC